AAUUGGAUGCAAAACCUCACUGAAAUAUUGAAAAAACUGUAAUUGAUAUUACAGUUUUUUCACAAUUUUCGGUGCAGGUUUUCAUUCAAAUUGUGAGUUGUUUCGAAUUAUGAAAUAAUAAGGCGCCAAAUGCGCAGAAUCAACAUCAUUAGUUCCAUUCCCUGCCCAUAAAGUCGCCACAAUCACGCUUAUUUAUUUUACCGCUGAGUUGUCACUCUUUCCCUCCUUUCUCUAUGAGGAGAAACCUUAUUCCUUGUAUUGUACUCCUACCAUAUAUGAACUCUUCAUAUAAGGGCGUGCUCCGAGGACAGCCCGUCAGAUUAUUAAAAAAAAAUCAAAUCUCAGAAAAACUCGAACGCGUCAGAUUAAGGCUAACGUGGCAUAAGGAAAUGGGUGAGUGGCAAAAUUGUAAAAAAAAACGUCACUGUGAAAUAAAAUUUUUUAUAUUCUUUAAUCUAUUAUUGUAUCAAUAAAUAAUGAUAACAUUACACCUACA